rnacentral:rRNA from 1 species
UUAUGGCUCAGGACGAACGCUGGCGGCAUGCUUAACACAUGCAAGUCGAACGGACUGAUCCUUCGGGAUGAAAGUUAGUGGCGAACGGGUGAGUAAUGUAUGAGCAACCUGCCUCUAUCAACGGGAUAACAGUUGGAAACGACUGCUAAUACGGUAUAAGACCACGGCACCGCAUGAUGCUGCGGUAAAAGAUUUUUCGGAUAGAGAUGGGCUCAUAUCCCAUUAGCUAGUUGGUGAGAUAAUAGCCCACCAAGGCGACGAUGGGUAGCCGAGCUGAGAGGCUGAUCGGCCACAUUGGGACUGAAACACGGCCCAGACUCCUACGGGAGGCAGCAGUGGGGAAUAUUGGGCAAUGGAGGCAACUCUGAACCCCCAGCAAUGCCGCGUGAGCGAUGAAGGUAAUUUUAUUGUAAAGCUCUUUUCUCAGGAACGAAUAAAAAUGACGGUACCUGAGGAAUAAGCCCCGGCUAACUACGUGCCAGCCGCUGC